rnacentral:lncRNA from 1 species
AAAAAUAUCAUAACAAGGGUUCAUCUCAUCCUAAAAAUGUAUAAAACUAGCUUAACAUAUUGAAAUUACAAGAAAUCAUAUAUAAGUGGAAAGAUAUAACCCGAAUUUUUGAUAAAUUGAGAGGAUGAAGAUAAAUCUUGAAAUCUUAAAUCUCUUCAAUGGUUUCUUAAUAAAUCUCUACUCGUGCUCUCUCUUCUUUGUCCAAUAUCAAGUUUAAAUCUUCACUUUAUUGAAUUCUUGCAAUCCCCUUCAAUUCUCUCACAAAAACAAUGAAUUCUUCUCAUUUUAUGGUAAUAAUUGAUGAAUAUUGAAGUAUAUUAUGUAUAAGAGAUAUGUAUGAGAGCCCCUUUCAUGUAUUCUCCUCUUGGGUAUCUGUAGAAAAUUGGUGAAAAAUCACACCCAAAUUGGUUUCCAAAAAAGUUCCAAUCGAAUAAGAAAAGUUACACUCGUGGGCGGAUUUUUUGUCUCUGCACAGCAGUCAAUAUUUUGAUAAUAACUUUGUCUCUUAAUAUUCGAUUGAGUUGAUUUAAAAUGCGUUGAAAAGAUAACUAAAAGGGCUAUAACUUUCCUAGAGAUAGAUAUUUUUCAAUUUGAACGUUUACUAUAUCAAAAAUUGGUCGCAAUCCUUAACUAACAAUCUGGAAGAUAUAUCAUGUGAUUGGAAGUCGAUUUAUGAUAAUAUUUUGAUGAUAUUACAUUCCUUUUUUUUUUUUUUUUACUUCUAAUUGCAUCCAAUUGACUCCCAUCAAUUUUUAAAAUAUCUCUUAUUGUCCAAUUCAACCAUUGAAUAUUUGCGAUUUGGUCCUGAACUUUGUACUUCGCCAUUUUUCGCUUCUUUCUUUCAAUUUAACUUCCAAUCAUCGAGUUUUACCUAAUAAAUGAAAUACACUAUAACUUAGGCUACAAUUACUUUAAAGAACUAUUAAAAAUCUAUAAUUUUAGGUCUACAUAAGUGUAUAAAAUACAAUUAUCAAGCACCAGCACAUGCAACCAAAUCCCUGUGUUUGAAUCUUAGACGAGAACGGAAUUCGUCAGCAAACAACUCACAAUAAAUACUUUCACCGCCUGAAUGCAAACGGUAAUGGAAACAUGCAUUAGAAAUAUAAAAUUCAAUACUGCACAUUGUGUUUCAUUGCAUGAUACCAGAUGAGAAGCCUCUCAAAUACAAUUGACAGCACUACGGGAGAAAAAUGAACUCACCCUUUGGCCCAGGUAAAAAUCUUUAUCCUGUCCAAUUUUUAUUUUCACUUUUCAGUUUUAUUUUUAAAACCCUCAAAAAACGCACAACUUAUGCAACAAUUUUUUCUUCGCCCAUACCAAAAAAAGUAUGAAUGAACUAAUUAUGCACGCAUAUGGGUAUUCAUACUAAACGCCUGUUAAAAAUCUACCCCUUCCAACUUAACACCAGAUUAACAAGUUCAGAAUUCUAAUUUCUAGUAUUAUUCAAUUUUAUAUUAUUUCUGAAUAAGUGAACUGCUAUUGCUGAAGCAAACCAUUUUAAUCAGACCAACUGAACCCUCAAACACAGUUGCAGUAAAUAAUUACUCACAGUACGGUUCUUUGGAACUCUGUUAUGUAUGCAGAUAUACACACGAAUACAUGUGCAAAUAUAUGUAUGAUGUAUAUAUAUAGAUAAAAGUUAUUAGAAAUUGCUGCACCUUGGCCAGUGCCGGUGGGGUCACCUCCCUGUACAAGGAAUGAUUUGACGACGCGGUGGAAGAUGGUGUUGUCAUAGUAACCCUCAAGGCAGAGCUGGACGAAAUUCCCGCCUUAGGCGCCUCAUUUGGCUAAAGCACGAUGUCCAACGGGCCAUACGACGUCGUAACUAUCACCUUCCCCUUCGUCAGAGGCUCCAAUACGUACACCGUCGACAUGUUCUCCGAUUGCUCGGCCAAUAAAUCCAUAAACGUCGGGCAAGUUUGUGGGUUUUGUGAAGAAUAUUUUCGAAAAUUUUCUUAUCGGUCCCAAUAUAUUCC